rnacentral:rRNA from 1 species
CCUACGGGAGGCAGCAGUGAGGAAUAUUGGUCAAUGGACGAGAGUCUGAACCAGCCAAGUAGCGUGAAGGAUGACUGCCCUAUGGGUUGUAAACUUCUUUUAUAUGGGAAUAAAAUGUUCCACGUGUGGGUUUUUGUAUGUACCAUAUGAAUAAGGAUCGGCUAACUCCGUGCCAGCAGCCGCGGUAAUACGGAGGGUCCGAGCGUUAUCCGGAUUUAUUGGGUUUAAAGGGAGCGUAGGUGGAUUGUUAAGUCAGUUGUGAAAGUUUGCGGCUCAACCGUGAAGUUGCAGUUGAAACUGGCAGUCUUGAGUACAGUAGAGGAAGGCGGAAUUCGUGGUGUAGCGGUGAAAUGCUUAGAUAUCACGAAGAACCCCGAUGGCGAAGGCAGCUCACUGGACUGCAACUGACACUGAUGCUCGAAAGUGUGGGUAUCAAACAGGAUUAGAUACCCCAGUAGUC